CUUCUCUCAUUCUUUAGCUCUCUAUAAAAGUAAAAUUUAGUGUUUUACUUUCAACAAGUUAGGUUAUAAUUUUUUUUUAAUUCCUCUUUGAAAUAUAUAUAUAUAUAUAUAUAUAGAUCCAAAUCUCUUGUGGGUUUUUAACUUGAUGUUUUAUGAUAGGUUUUAGGACAAGAUUAGGGUUUUUGUACAUGUUGACUUGAUAUAUUUUGUGUUAUUAUUAGUUGUUAUGGGAGUGGAGCUCCUUGAAGUCCAACAGAAGAUCUAACAGGUUAGAUUGAGCUGCUGACCUAUGGAUUCCUCAGCCCUAUCUAUUUAUGAUUUAACAUAUAGAUAGCUUUGUGGGUUUGCAUAUGUCAGGAGCUUUAUUUUACCUUUUGUUUGAUCAUUUUUUGGAUUGAAGGGAGCUCUACAUUCGUAUCUCCUUGCUAGAUUUGUACAUUUUUUUCUUCUAUGUUAUUAAAUCUAGUCAUAUGGUACUUAUUUUUAUUAGAUCUAGUAUUAGAUUUAAUAUUCAAGGUAUGUAGAUCUUAUUUCCUAUUUCUAGCUACUGUUUAAAUGUAUAUAUUAUUUUGGUUAAAUUUUGAAAUGUUGUUUACUUUUUAAUAUUUUUUGAGGGUCUGUUUAGAUCUGAUUUUCCUAUUUCAGGCUUCUGAAGAAAUGUUGGAUUUGGAUUUGAAGUCUUUCAGCGCAGCUUUAUCGUUUGUCUAGAUUUGAGUUGUGGAAGAAAAUAUUUUAGAAACUGAAUUUUUACAGUUGUGUAAAUUGGGAAAUACUUGUUUGUUUUUACUUUGUGUACAUAUUAGUUUUUUUGAAUAAAAUAAAGUGAAAUCCUUAAUAUUUUAAUCUUUCAUUAGGUUUAGUCUAGGCUAUUGAUAGCUACUUUCUCGAUUCUUGAUCUUUGUGCAAAUUAAAGCUAUGUUGCAUUAAUUAAUAUUGGGACAGAUGUGUGGAAAAUGCAGUGUAGGUUCUUUAUUUUGAAUCUUAUCUUGGGAAGAUAUUUUUAUUUUGAAAUCUGACUAAGUAGAUCAUUGGUCCUAACUUCAACUUAAGCUUAAGAUAGUUUUUACGGUAUAAUACAAAGAAUAAAGUUGAUAAUUAUUUGUUAUUUUAUUUAUAUGUAUCAAGUUGUGUUAAUAUUAUUUUACUGCCAGCAGUUUUUAAUAAAUUCAAUGUGUGUUGUAAAUGUUUUUUUUUUUUUUUUACUUUUAACUAAUCAUUUUGACUAUUAGAAAUCGUUGCAGGUUCUUUUUAGAAUGAUUAGAGAUGGAAGUAAGUAUUAACAUUAAUUUUGUUUUGCAGUAAUCAUCCUCUUAAUAUGCUAUUGGCAAUGUAUCGGGAUUUCUCCAAUAUUUUUUAAAGUUAAAAACAAUUACUUGUUGAAAAU
rnacentral:lncRNA from 1 species